rnacentral:rRNA from 1 species
GACGAACGCUGGCGGCGUGCCUAAUACAUGCAAGUAGAACGCUGAAGGAGGAGCUUGCUCUUCUGGAUGAGUUGCGAACGGGUGAGUAACGCGUAGGUAACCUGCCUGGUAGCGGGGGAUAACUAUUGGAAACGAUAGCUAAUACCGCAUAACAGUAGAUGUUGCAUGACAUUUGCUUAAAAGGUGCACUUGCACCACUACCAGAUGGACCUGCGUUGUAUUAGCUAGUUGGUGGGGUAACGGCUCACCAAGGCGACGAUACAUAGCCGACCUGAGAGGGUGGUCCGCCACCCUGGGAAUGCAUAGCACCACAGACUACUACAGGGAGCAGCAGUACGGGAUUUUCGGCAAUGGACGGAAGACUGGCCGAGCAACGCCGCGUGAGUCAAGAAGGUUUUCGGAUCGUAAAGGUCGGUUGUACAAGAAGAACGAGUGUGAGGGUGGAAAGUUCACAAUGGCACGGUAACUUACCAGACAGGGACGGCUAACUACGUG